rnacentral:RNase_P_RNA from 1 species
CGAGCUGGCCGGGCGGCCGCGUCGACGGUCUCCGGACCGUCGCCGAGGAAAGUCCGGACUCCGCAGGGCAGGGUGGUUGUCAACGGCAACCCGGGGUGACCCGCGGGACAGUGCCACAGAGAACAGACCGCCUCCGGGGCAACCCGGGGGUAAGGGUGAAACGGUGGUGUAAGAGACCACCAGCACCCCGGGUGACCGGGGUGGCUCGGUAAACCCCACCCGGAGCAAGACCAAGAGGGCCCCGCUCCGGCGGGGCCUGCGCAGGCGUUCGAGGGCGGCCCGUCCGAGUCUGCGGGUAGGUCGCACGAGCCUGCCGGCGACGGCAGGCCUAGAUGGAUGGUCGCCGGGCGGUGCGCCGCAAGGCGCUCCGCUCACAGGAUCCGGCUUACAGGCCAGCUCGUCCC